UACGUAGGGUGCAAGCGUUGUCCGGAAUCAUUGGGCGUAAAGCGCGCGUAGGUGGUCAUGUAAGUCCGCUGUGAAAGUCAAAGGCUCAACCUUUGAAAGCCGGUGGAUACUGCAUGACUAGAGUACGGAAGAGGCGAGUGGAAUUCCUGGUGUAGCGGUGGAAUGCGCAGAUAUCAGGAGGAACACCAAUAGCGAAGGCAGCCAUCUGGACGGAUACUGACGCUGAGACGCGAAAGCGUGGGUAGCAAACAGG
rnacentral:rRNA from 1 species